rnacentral:lncRNA from 1 species
UCCCCUGAUUGGCUACGGAUCAGAUGUGGCUGGAGCUGCAAUGGAGAAGGUGGCUUCCUCUCAAAUGAUUGGUAAGCAUUCUGACAUGACUUGCAGCCUGACUUCACAAGGUGAUGCGAACCCCACAAGUUAUGGAAUUCAGCCUGAAACACCAAAGGAGUGGCCAAUACCUGCUUAAUGUUCUCUAAUGGAAUACAAGCUAUACCUCCCCUUAUUCUAUGUAGCAGAUGAAUCCCUUUACAGUGAUGCAGUUUUGCUCACAUCAGGCCAAUUAGCAUUUCAUGUAGAGCUUAUCUUUAACAUAAAAAACUCUUAACAAAAUUUUGUUCUGUUUUUAUCUCCAAACCAUGGACCUAAUUGUCUGGUGCACAAUAAAAGAAAAGCAAAGACAUUUUGCA